rnacentral:rRNA from 1 species
CCUACGGGGGGCAGCAGUGAGGAAUAUUGGUCAAUGGGCGGAAGCCUGAACCAGCCAAGUAGCGUGCAGGAUGACGGCCCUACGGGUUGUAAACUGCUUUUAUACGGGAAUAACGCGCCUUACGUGUAGGGCUUUGCAUGUACCGUAUGAAUAAGGACCGGCUAAUUCCGUGCCAGCAGCCGCGGUAAUACGGAAGGUCCGGGCGUUAACCGGAUUUAUUGGGUUUAAAGGGAGCGUAGGCCGCAUGUCAAGCGUGCUGUGAAAGUUGCGGGCGCAACCCGGGCCUUGCAGCGCAGACUGGCGUGCUUGAGUGCGCGGAAAGCAGGCGGAAUUCGUCGUGUAGCGGUGAAAUGCUUAGAUAUGACGAAGAACCCCGAUUGCGAAGGCAGCUUGCUGCAGCGGAACUGACGCUGAUGCUCGAAAGCGCGGGUAUCGAACAGGAUUAGAUACCCGUGUAGUC